CUGAUGCGUCUGUUCGCAGCGUCUUGUCUAGAAGUUGGACGCUUUUUGCACAUGAAUAUUGUUUGUGUAAUGAAGUCAUAAUAUUUACGCAGGGACGCAGGAGGAGUGAGGUGGAAGCUCUGCCGAGCUGUGGGCGCACAAACUCGGACGAGGACUUCAGGUUGACUCCUUCAGACACUUUCACAUCGAAGGAUCCAGAGAUGAAGGUAAAGUGGAUUUAAAAGUUCACAUUCACUCUUUCCCUGAAAGAGCAGAACUGUGGCUUCUGUUGUUCACGGCUGUAGCAGAGACCCAGAGGUGAUUAGCAACAGUUUGAAACGAUGUCUUAUUUGGAAAAUGGAGCCAAAACUAUGCCUUCAGCUCUCGAGAAUGUUUAGGCUUUAACUGUAAUUGACCUCGAAGAAAGCGCGCUCCAGUUUGUUUUUCUGUAUGUGUUUCCAGCGUAUAAAAUCUGUUUUAUUUUGGGGGUUUACUGCCUUUUCUACAGCUGUGAGCAAAACUUACUGAAAGACGAUCAGUCCACAACCUAAAACUGUUGACAGUAGGUUGCUUAUUGUUCCCCGGAGAGGUCGAUAGCUGCAGCCUGCAACCUUUCGCCUCUCCGUGGGUUCAGUUAGUCGUGCUUCUGAUCCCUGCCGGCGUUCCUGUUUCUCGUAAAGUGAGCGCUGGUUUUGGCAUGAUAGAAAAUAUCACAGUGUAAAAAAAAAGAGUCGAUGAACAGUCAUAUAGCUUUUAUCCUGUGCGUAAAAGCAGUGUUUGGAGCCUCUGUUCUCUGUGCGUAAAAGCCCCCAGUAGCUCCUGUGAUAUAUUAUUCUGUAAAAUAUGUGGCAGCAUGUUUCCAAGUACAAUUUGAGGAAACAUAUUUGAAUAAAAUUCUUUUGCAGGACUCAUAUAUUAUUAAAUGGUCGAUUGAAAUUUACCGGAACAGUUCAGUCCUAAAACACGCGUCGCCGCUUUCUUGUAGCAGGGAUUUUGCCAAAGAGAAAAGAGAGAUCAAUUCUUUGGCAAAAAUGUCAUUGUCUGCUCAAAGUUGACAGAAGUGCCACUGUUAGUUUGUGCUGUUGCGGAGGAGAUUGAAAGCGGUGGAUAAAUGAAUGUAGGUAUUGUUUUAACCGGUGCUUGCUCGGCCUCUCCGCCUGCAGUGAGGGCCACACAUUUAUCAGCGCAGCGGACCACCCAGCGCGCACCAGGGGUAGGCGCGCUCCCGUCCCCUCUCUGCCCACUGCAUUUAAUUACCGCUGAUGACUUCAUUGCAUUAGGGCGUUUUUUUCUCUCUCUCAUGCACACCUUUGUAUGAUGUUAUUCUUUCUCUGGAAUGAACAGGUCAGAUUUUUUUUCUUGUAAUAGUUGACAUGUCCGUGAAGCGAGUCCGUUGUUUAAGAUUACGCACACCAUCGAUGCUGGAGGAUGCGCAACUCCUCAAUACCAUCUCCAACUUUUAGGGAAGCUCCAAAAUAUUUGUUUUUUAAAUUUCUGAUGAAAUUGGUGAUGUUAGCUUUAAAAGUAACAGUGAUAAUUCAGCAACAAUUUGAACUUAACCCGUCAAAUAUCACAUAGCUUCCAUAAGAAUUUAGGAUAUAUUCUGAAAUCUAAAUAUUUCACUCGUCCAGUGUGUGAGUAUUUCAAUCGUUCAGAGGAAAUAGUUGGCAUAACAACGUCGGAGGCGGAUUAUGUUCAUUACCAGGGCUUUAGUCCCGAGGUCAGAGCUUCCCUGUUGCUCCAUCGCAGACGAAGUCAUGCACUUUUCCAUGACGUCCCAUCAUGAAAUAUUUGACAGCGCUGCAUCCUCAGGAAUGCUCGGCCACUUAGGUGGAGGUACACCGCAAAGAGCGCAGUCCUGACAGCCUUUCCGGGCAGUCUUACCGUUAUGUAGUGCACUCACGCCAGCUCCGGACCCUUCUAAAAUCACGGUUUUACAGAAAUGUACACAAAAAUUGUUCCCUCAUAGGUUAAAUGCGCCUUUUCUCCAGUCAACUGAGCAGUGAAGGACUCCAACAGGCCAACAAAGUCCAACAGAGGUUUAUGUUUAUUUCCAUUAUUUAACGUACAACUUUAUUUCAGAAUAACUAACAGCAUGCAGCUCUCUCUCUUUCUGUUGUAUUUUUUUAGAUUCAAUUUUAUCAUUAAACGCAAAAUCUUGACAUAACAUCAAGACUGCAGGUUAAUUUAAGGAUUACUGCUGAAUCAUUGUUGUAAGGCAGGAACAACUUCGCAGCACUCUGCAGAAUAAUUUGAUCUGACCUCACAGAAAGUAGAAAAAAAUGUUCAAAAGAAGACCCAAAGAGAGGACGAGUUAAGGUUUUAAACGUACAAGUUAAAUAAUCUGAAAGUAGGAUCUUUUUGGAGGAAAUAAUCUAGAUUUGUUUUCAGUGGUAAGAGGCAGACGCAGGGGGGUCACCGAGAGGCCACAGGGACUUUGUUUGGACCUCAGGGCGACAGAGUGAUCGAUCAGCUGGCUCCAAGUUCAUCCGCCUUGAACUUGAGUUACAUUUCCAAGUAAAACUUUGACCUAAAGGAGCAAACAGCUUUCUUUUGGACCUCCUCGUAAACUACAAAACGCACGAAAGCCAUUAAUACUUAUUCCUCUAAGAAAAACACGAUAAACAUUAAAAAAUAAUUAUCUUGUAGGCUGCUUUGAACUACUUGAAACAAAAGCCUAAAUUGAAAAUGUCUCAAAGGUUUUGAACCAUAAUUUCUUAUUAAAGCUGUUUUUAUAAGUUACAACACUAAAUAAAUUUGUUUAAGGGUCUGGGUAUGCCCUGGAGUUUAUUAAAAAUCAGUAACCUAUCGAAAAUGACGGAAUAAUUUUUAAUUAUUUAUUUAUUUUGUGUAAAAUCAACAGAUUCAAAGAGGUCUUAGAUUUAAUUUAACUUAACUGCAUACACUAAGACGCACUAAAAUUAUCAUGACAAUCAUAAAAAAUAUGUAAAAGAAAUGAAAUGAAAGAGCUGGGCAUGUUUUAGGCGAAAAUACAAAGUUUUAAAAAUGCUCAAUUCUUGAACACAAACCUUUACUGCAGGUUUAUAUCCUCUCCAUAUGGGCUAAUUGAUACUCCAAUUAAUGUACAUUUUGUAUUCAUGAUUUAACUAUUUCCCUCUAAAUUAUUUGUUUUGGUCAUAUUUAAAAUACACAAAUAUUAAUAAGUUUCAGAGUGACACAUUUCCCUUCACAGCAGUUGUCAUAGAGGACAUAUUUCCACAUGCGCACCUUGAGCUCCUCUCUGGCUCUCUGUGUCCUCCGUGUCGCCUGUAGUUCACUCAGCAGCUUUGUCGCUUUAAUUGAAAACAGUGUAAAGUGGAGGUGGGUACCCCCUCAUCACUUUCCCCUCGCUGUAGGUGGCCGUGUAUAUUUUCCUUUAAGUGCUGUUUAUGUGAAGGAGAAAAAGGACGGGAUUGCUAGCAGACCGCUGAUUGCGCGCGCGCUGCAUGGCUCUCUGCGUGGAUCUGAAGUGUGUUUGAUGGGCACCACCCUCUCGUGUGGGCUAAUCAGCUGCAGCACGAGCGCACGAGAUGACUUUUUAAUUCUCCUGGCGAAGUAUCAGCACCGCGCCCUGUUGUGUGUGAGGGCGCAUGAGAAAGUAGUCCCCCUGGCACAACAAGGAUGACUAAUGAAAUAUCCGCGUUCAUACUUUUCUCAGUGAUACCUCUGCUUGUUUUUAAUAUUAAUAAGCGUGUUAUCAGGCUGUGUGUGGUGUUGCGUUCAAUAUAGUUUGAAUGGAAAUGUGAGGUAUCUGUUCUCCUACAUAUGGAGUGACGCGCAGCCAUCUUAAGUGGAUUUAAAUAGUUAAACUGAAAAGUCAAUAAUAAAGCUCACAAAUCUCUGUCAUACGAUGCAUUUUGAUAACAAAUCUAAUUAAAUCAAUCGUAGGAACCUUUUUUUGAUAAAAGGCAACUAUAGAAAAAAUCUUAUGAAGGGAAUUGUUAGCUGUAGGCCCUAUGCAUAAUAUUUUUGAACCCUAAAAUUAUUUGGACAACAGUGUGCGUUCUCCAAAAACCAUUCAUGAUGCAGACAAAAAAUUAACUAACAAAUAGUUGCAUUCUCAGUUGGUUUGGUAAAAUAAUUGUGCCAUUUACAUUUGCCUGCUACUCCUAUUUAGGUGCACAACAAGCACUUGGAGCUGUUAAAAAUAAGAAAAGUAGAUAAUGAAUGAAUGAAUGAAUUCAUAAAAUCUGAUUUCUGGAGAAUUUGCUGUACAUCAAGAGCUUAAAAACACACAAAUUAUGAGUAUUCAUAACUUUACAAAACAACACAUAAUGAACAUGAAAUAAAAUCAUAUAAAAGGUUAUUAUUAACACACUGCAUGGUGACUUAAAUCCUUUUAAGUGUAAAUAAAAGACACAGAUACAUUUGUUAUCCCGUUUCAGUCUCUGGAUGGACAUAAAUUGUCUAUGUUUCCUCUGUCUGUGUUUGAGUCCAUCACCCUGUGCCACUUAAACGCAUAAUAUUUGUUUUGUCAAAAACAAUCAUAGCUCUAUAGAGAUAAAGAGCUCAUCAUGAGUCACUGAUGUAAACAUUACUGUGAGAACCCGGACCUCCUCCGAUCCCUGGUGUGUCAUACAAUCAAAUCCAAGACAGUUCACUUACAUCAUCAGACAUUUUCUUGUUUCAGGGAUCAGCAGUUUGUCACCCAUUCAAUCAGAGCUCGGUUUUGCUUUCUGACAGCUGUAGGUAAAAAGAAACAGCUCACUUCAGACAAUGUAAAAAUAAUGAAGGCAUAUGUAAAAUUUCCUCUGUCAGAUUUUAGGAUCACAGGCAGCAGCACAUAAUUUGACAUGGAGGACAGCGGUGGGGAGGAUUUGGCAGCCCUAGAGGUUUUACAAACACCAAAGUGUCCAAAUGUGGUGAGCAUGAUGCGGUUUCAUGAUUUAAAAUACCUGUUCAAAGCAAACCAGGAUUUCAGCAAAUUAGCAUUUAUUUUAAACAGAACCAAGUGGUAAUAUACUUGAGGGGAAAAAAACAAUGCAUUUGGACAUAAUGUACUUUGUAGGUAUUUGUGGGUUCUGUGUCGGCUGCUUAUGCUUAGUUGAUGUUCACUUUUCUCUCAAACAGCCUAAUUAUAGAAUGGAUAUUUUUUGUGACCAAUAUUUUAGGUUUUACAAUGAAAUGGCUGCAUACAGUUAGCAUAUUUGUAUUUUUAUCUUAUAAGUAAAUCAUUUUACACUGUGUCAGUGUUGGAGUGAUGUAUACUGAAGCUGUCCCCGGUGUUUUUCCACCAAAGAUGACUCAGUGAAUCUAAAGCUGACAGCCUUUGUCAUUUCUUUAGUAUGGUGUUGCUCAUAAAUCCUCUUAUUUUGUGAGUAUCAUUGAAGAAGUUUUUUUUUUGUGUGUGAGUAGCUGUUUUCACUUAAAACCAUGGCAAAAGUUUCAUUUUCUUUAAAUAUUUAAACUCUUUGACUGUUGAAAAUGGUGUUAGAGGUUGUUAAAAACUCAUUUUGGGUGGAGUUUCUCAAAAUUCUAUCCUAGCUGAUUUCAGGAGACAACAUAGAAAUGAAAGGAAAGUGUUAUUUAGAAAGAUUUUGGUCGUUAUAUCGGCUGUGGGCAUAGUUUUUCUUCACUUGUAUGCUGAUUUGAAAAGGAUCUUAUUUCUACUUCUAUGACUGGAUAGUAAGUACAAAAUCUAAUAUUGAUAUAGACAAUAAAGUGCAUUUCUAUUUGGCUCUUUCUACCCAGAAUAAGUCCAGUAAAAGGUUUUCCACAUAGCUUCACAGCUCAUCUGUGCUCCUCUGCGGUUUGGCUUUAAGGCUCAGCCCCUACACAAAGAGUUGGAGCGGUUAGAUGCCCCACCCUGCACCCUGCUCACCUCCUGGGGUCCAGUGUGUCUGAUGCAGACAGAGACGUCAAUAAGACGAGCUGAAGCAGAAACCACAGAGCAGAGGACAAAAAGAGAGAGAGAGAGAGAGAGAGAGAGAGAGGCAGGGCAGACUCAGGCCACAGCCGGCUCUGCUACAGGUUAGCUGCUUUGAUUCCACUUUAAUGACACCCUGAUGGGUGCACACGGGGCGACAGGGGUUUUAUAUGAACGUGUUUACAUGCACGCUUACAGAAUAUCUAUGCUGUUUAUGUAUAGCCCACCAACUCAGUUUUUUCUGUGCUCUGAAGGGGGAUUUUCCUGUGGCAGGCUGCUUCGGAAAAAGCAAUUAAGAAUUCCCAAACAGUCCACCACAAUGGGAGAUAUCAUUUGUGCAAUGUGUGCUCCAUGUCUCUUCAGUUUGAGCCUGGGAUGGAUUGGCUAUUUUUAAUCUGUGCACGAAAGAACCCACCUACAGUCAAACCACAAAUUGAAUGAAGGGGAGGGGGAUGAGUGGGACUGGUAAUUGCCUAUUGUGGAGCUCAAACUCCUCUGUUCUGCCAUAAACAGCUUUGGUAGUUCACAACUUGAUACCCGGUGCUCCGGACGGGUUGAAAUUACAGUGUGUCCUCGUUGUCUGUGGGAACUCAGAGCCAGGCAGUGGUUUGAAUCAGUCAGGAAUGCUCCGGGAUGGUAACUGGAUUGGGUUGUAAUGCCCGGCUCUCCGCAGCCCGAAUGUGAGGGUGGGAAAAAGGCCGAGAGCAUUUCCUGAGUGAAGGGGGGUCCCAGCCAAGCAUCACACGCGUGGGCAUCAUGUGACAGGGAUCCUGCCAGGAUUUAGCUUAUAUGAUCCAGAGUGAAGAAGAAGAAGAAGAAGAAGAAGAAGAAGAAGAAGAAGAAGAAGAAGAAGAAGAAGAAGAAGAAGAGUACAGCUGCAGAGGAGGAGGGUGAAGAGGACAGUGAAGGUUAGAGACAGGAGAGGAGCAGAUACAGGAAUAAGCAACCUGUGAAUGAACUGAUAAUGAAGAAAAAGAGGAUUUAGGCUAAUAGAUAAAGAAAAUUGAUAUCUGCAUCUGUUAAUUUCACCAAUUAUAUCAGAAAUUGUAAUAAAUCAUCUGCUGCUUUAUUUCAUAUCAGGUGGUCCUCUGCUUUUAAGUGUGCAUUUGUUUUUUUUUAUAUAUAGUUAAGCUCCUGAUUCUCUACCAUUAUACAAAUCCAUGAACUCUAGAAACCAACUUUUGGUUCAAUCAAAACUAAUACAGAACUGAGGAAAAUAGAUAAGAUAGGAGAUUGUAUUUAAAGCUCCUGUGAGGAACUUUCAGUCCGUGUUGAUUUCAGCAGGCUCUGGACAAAUUGGUAACCCUCACAUUGAUGCUGAUUUCUACUAAUCCUUGUAAAGGAGUGUCUAUUAAUUAAAAAAAACUUCUCUUGCUGUCUUUUAAGAGUGAAUGUUCUCACUAACUAUGAUAAUUUGCUGUGAGAUAUGUAAUAAAGGUGUUUUCCAGUGUACCUACCCCCUCACAGAAGUUACAGACUCUUAAUAUCAUGAUAAAGAAGUAAAAAAUCUUGACAGCAGUGGUUUAAUUUGCAUUUGAACUUCAUAAAGGCACAUUAGACAUUUCAGUCUGUUUUACAUCUCUUCAAAAACCCCUCACAGGAGCGUUAAUAACUUGGUUUUUUAUUUGAGAAAUCUGGUUUGAAAGAUUGACCAGUGUAUAAAAAUACUCCCAAAGAAGUGCUCAGACCAUUAACUGACGUGUUUUACAAAGCCUUUCACAGGAUUUAUUAUCAGUGUGACUUGAAAACCUUUUUGCAUGCAGGAAACUACAUUUCCCAGUCUGAUUGAGGCCUUGUAUUUCUGUGCAUGAUGUAAAUGUAACAGAGAUUAUGAAUUAUUAUUAUUUUUUUAAAAAGGAUGUUUUGAAGGAGACCGAUAGACUUAAACUAAAAAUGCUACUCUCUGCUAAUCAUUAGUGUGAACUUUAAAUGCAAUUUGUGAAACAUAAAAGCCGUAAAAUACAAUUCCAGGUCACAUUUGAUGAUGUUGCACGCUUUUCUUUGAGGUUAAUAUUGUUGUUAGAAAAUUCAAGUUGGUCUGAGGUGUCUGUGAUAGAAUGAAAAUUGAAAAAAUACGUCUCGAAAUAAGUCAGUGUCUCCUCAGAUAUCAUGAUGCAUAAGCUGCUAAAUUCAGAAUCAGAGCAUGAAUGGGUAAACAUAAAACUCUGCACCAGAUCUUCUAUGUAAAUUUAUCAGCUAUGGUCCUGAUUUAAUGUCUAAAUCUCAAUGUUCAAUGUUCAACCAGUUUGCACAGUGACAUGUCUUUUUGCUCAAAGUGGCAGCAAAUCUAAUUCACACUGUACAGACCAAAAUUUCUUCAGUAGUUACCACUUAAGAUUUAAAAACUGGGUCUAAUGAAUUUGAGGCAAAAGUUGAAAUAGUAUAGAGUAGUUUUUAGGUGAAAAGAUUUGCGUCCUCGAUGUCAAGAGUAGGUUCCACCGUUGAUAAGAGUGUGCGACGUCUCUGUGUGACUGAGCUCUGACUCUGAGGACAAGAGCAAACAUAGUAAGGUUUUAUUUGAGGGGAAUUGUGUCCUGAGACGAAUUAGAGAGGUAUUUCUGCAAAAAAAUACUGUUUGUAUCUGCUCACACCUUACUAUGAGUUUCUACCCAAAUAUCUGCAGACUACAAUUUUAUUGUUACUCCAACAGAUCAGUAUUGACUGCUGGAAGAUUCCUGUCACUGAGUCUGUUUUUUUUUUUUUCAUGCAUGUUAGCUUAUGCAUGUCAUGGGGCAUAUAACUGUGUUUUUCCCUUGUGUUCCUGAGCCUGCUGUCUGUUGCCUCAUGUGUUCACUUAUUAGAACAUGUAAGAAUGUUGCUGACUACAUAUCUGUGUGUGCAGACUGCUGCUGGCAGCCAGACGUGGCUGCCUUUGGCUUGUAUAAAUGUUGUGACGAUCUCAGGAGGAAUCUUGGCCUAUAGUUGUCAAAGGGCUUUUAAUUUCCACCUGCUACCGGCCUCUUUCCGUUUGGUCUGCUCUAUAACAAUGGUACAGGGAAAGCUGUGGAGAGCGGGGUGAUUGAUGUUGGGCUGUAUUUGGCCCUUCUUCAGACUGAGGGCCUGACAGGAAGUGGCUAACCCUCCCUUCCACACCGACUACCAUGUAAUAAUGUGGGGCUAAAGAGGGCAAAGUGCUGAUCACGACUUUCUGAGGCAUCCAAUCGCUCCGAAAGACGAGUUGGCAGGCGGAUGUAAACAAGGUUUCAUGACUUGUAAAUCAUUUUGCCACUUGAAGCAACAGAAUGAAGUUUUGGCUGCAAGUUUGGAUUCAACUUUAUCCCGUCUAUCAUGUCUAAAACCACCACUCUUCCCUUUGUCUGUGGUAAAAAAGAGAUACAGGCUCAUCACGGCUGCAUUCUUUCCAUUUUGCUGAAGAGCACCAAGCACUGAAGGUGAUCCAUCACCCGAUUAUUCUGUCCUUAUUCCUAACCGUGUUUCUCUUUCUCCUUCCUGCAGGCUGCAGCGUGCCGGCGUGCGGCUUUGGCCACAGGAAGCCGUGAAUUCUUCAGAGAAUGGAAGAUGUCUUAUGGAGGAGACAUACUGCACCCCUUCUCCGCCGCCGACCCCACCCACUCACCACCCUGACGUGACACCUGACCCCUUCAUGUGUUUAUAUCAGAGCGUGGAAGUGAAAAAUAGUGAUGAGUCACUCCGGCUGAGUGUUUACACUUAGGAGUCACGCAAGGAAGGAAAUCAGCCACGGUCUGCUAAAAGUGGCGAGGUGAGAGAGAAUAGCUGCAGUCCCCCUGAGCUGCACUGAUUUACCUCUCCCACACUGAAUUUAUUUCACCUCAUCUCGGCUGAGAAGACUUUGGACCAGCAGAGGACUGCAUCAUUAGCAGUGUAAUAGACUGUUGUCAAAAAACAGGCAACUUGGACUGAAGCAAGGCCCCAAAUGUGAGGUGGUUUCAAAUGAAAGCAUAACAUGCAUAGGAUGGAGGUUUUCUUUGUGCAUAUGUUGUUGGGUG
rnacentral:lncRNA from 1 species